AGGGAGAUAGAGAGAUCGGGUGUGUGUUUUUUGCUUUGUAGAAGAGAUAGAGAGAUUCAGGUACUUGCUUUGAACCGUCUUCGUUUAGUUUAUUCAGGAUAACCUUCAACUUUGUCAUCAAGAUCGAUCUUGAUCAAAAUUCGGACAACUAGAUAGCUAUUAGUUCGGUUCUCGGAUUAUAAGUUGUGAGGUUGCAGUGUGCCAAACUUGAUCGGCUUGCACUUCAUCUAGAUUCUCAUAUUGCUUCAUCCUCCAUGGCAUGUUAACAAGCAAUGGGAAGAUUUGAUUCUAUCAGAGUUUGUUCAGGCUUUUCACCUUUUGGAUAUAUGUUUUCUUUGGGAUUCUUCUCUCAACAGCGUCUUCCUUAGCCAGCCAAAG